rnacentral:rRNA from 1 species
CGCGUAGGCGGGGAUACAAGUCAGGUGUGAAAUCUAUGGGCUUAACCCAUAAACUGCACUUGAAACUGUAUCUCUUGAGUGUCGGAGAGGUAGACGGAAUUCCUAGUGUAGCGGUGAAAUGCGUAGAUAUUAGGAGGAACACCGGUGGCGAAGGCGGUCUACUGGACGAUAACUGACGCUGAGGCGCGAAAGCGUGGGGAGCAAACA